rnacentral:rRNA from 1 species
UACGAAGGGAGCUAGCGUUGUUCGGAAUUACUGGGCGUAAAGGGUGCGCAGGUGGGUUUGCAAGUUCGAUGUGAAAGCCCCGGGCUUAACCCGGGAAUGGCAUUGGAUACUGCAGAUCUGGAGGAUCGGAGGGGGGACUGGAAUUCUUGGUGUAGCAGUGAAAUGCGUAGAUAUCAAGAGGAACACCAGUGGCGAAGGCGAGUCCCUGGACGAUACCUGACACUGAGGCACGAAAGCUAGGGGAGCAAACAGG